UACGUAGGCAGCAAGCGUUGUUCGGAGUUACUGGGCGUAAAGGGUGUGUAGGCGGUCUUCUAAGUUUGGUGUGAAAUCUCCCGGCUCAACUGGGAGGGUGCGCCGAAAACUGGAAGGCUAGAGUGCGGGAUGGGAGAGUGGAAUUCCUGGUGUAGCGGUGAAAUGCGUAGAGAUCAUGAGGAAGACCAGUGGCGAAGGCGGGUCUCUGGACAGUUCCUGACACUGAGACACGAAGGCCAGGGGAGCAAACGGG
rnacentral:rRNA from 1 species